rnacentral:rRNA from 1 species
GUUGUAUGGUUAAGUGACUAAGCGUACACGGUGGAUGCCUUGGCAGUCAGAGGCGAUGAAGGACGUAUUAACUUGCGAUAAGCCCAGAUUAGGUAGUAAAAACCAUUUGAGUCUGGGAUUUCCGAAUGGGGAAACCCAAUACCAUAAGGUAUUACUGUUGAGUGAAUACAUAGCUCA